AAAAAAAUGAUGUACUACUACCUCACUUAAGAGAAUAGCAUACCAAGAUAACUAAGGUGAAAAAACUUUAAACAUGGCAAAUACUAGGAAAACCCAAAAUCAAUCCUAAGCAGUCCUACAAUUUUUCUCUUUAACUCUUCAGCAUGGAAUAUCUUCUCCUGGAAAAGAAAAGAGAGAGAUCAUGGAGAAUAAUUUUCUCCAUACCUCAGCAUUCUAAUGUUCAACAAGUUUGAAGUCACCCUCUUGUUGUGGACUCAAGUUUACCUAAUUGUUUUCUAUCCUUGAACUUUUUCAUCUCUAGGUUUGCUAUUAUGGGAAGCACUAUCAUUGUUUUGCUUACAGUCACGAUCAUGAACAGUGGAUCAUGUAUGAUGACAAAACAGUAAAGGUGAUUGGUGGCUGGAAUGACGUUCUUAUGAUGUGUGAGAAAGGACAUCUACAACCCCAGGUCCUCUUUUUUGAAGCUGUAAAUUAACAAUCUUUAAGUUGAUAUAACGAAGAUAUGGGGUUCAGCAUUGUCUUGAGCACGGUGAUGCACUGACAAAUACUGGCCGUGCACUGAGCCGAGCUUGCAAAAGCUAUACUUAUGGAACUUACAAUGCUGAUAACAAGCUCAGAAUUGUAUUAUAAAGUCAAAAUUUCUGUUAUAUAGUGAAGAGAAAUAGGAGCAGUUACCUAUAAGAGACUAGGAAAAUAUGAAAAUGUUUUAUUUGAAGAUUGGAAAAAUCAGAAACAGGUUUUGGUGCCCAUGAUACUGAGGGAUGGUGAGUCUACAUGGGGUUUUCUUCAAAUUCUGGCAUCUUUCCAAUCUGGUAUGGUCGAAGACUGAGCCGUGAAAAAUAACCACCACCUGUGUUUUUUGUUAGAGCACGUGAAAAUCAAUUUCUCAAUGGGAACUAUCCUGGAUGGUUGAUGGAUACUACAAUUGUACAUAGGAAAUUCUUGUACUUAGAUUCAAAUCUCUAUUAUUUUUCUGAUACAAGGAAAUUAUGUAUAGACCAGAUCUUGACUCCUUGGGUGAGUUACCUGUGGCCUAGGUACGGCUCUUUCUCAGUUUUCGAUGGGAAAAAUUUUGCGCUGGUCGAUGUCAAACGGUCUUCAAUGUUAUGAUAUGACGUUGAUGUUGGCAAAAUGAAUGAUAUGAAUGUACUUUUGAUCUGCUUUAAGGUUUUGAAUUGCAA